UAUAUAAUAAGUUAAAAAAACUAAAAGCCUUCAAAGCUUUAUUUAUUCUAUCACUAAUUAGUAUAA
rnacentral:tRNA from 1 species